rnacentral:misc_RNA from 1 species
GAUGAAGAACGUAGCGAAAUGCGAUAAGUAAUGUGAAUUGCAGAAUUCAGUGAAUCAUCGAGUCUUUGAACGCACAUUGCGCCCCCUGGUAUUCCGGGGGGCAUGCCUGUCCGAGCGUCAUUGCCGCCCUCAAGCAUGGCUUGUGUGUUGGGCCCCCGCCCCCCGGCUUCGGGGGGCGGGCCCGAAAGGCAGCGGCGGCACCGCGUCCGGUCCUCGAGCGUAUGGGGCUUCGUCACCCGCUCUGUAGGCCCGGCCGGCGCCCGCCGGCGACCCCAAUCAAUCUUUCCAGGUUGACCUCGGAUCAGGUAGGGAUACCCGCUGAACUUAAGCAUAUCAAUAAGCGGAGGA